rnacentral:lncRNA from 1 species
GGCCCGGCCCGGAGCGGGGUUUGACGGGCCGUGGCGAGGGAAGGAGUGGAUGGGUACGGUGAGCCUGGCGACCCCUGGCUCUGCUGGACCUGCCCUGGACUCGGAAUUGCCCGUGUUUUAAGCGGAGCCGCGGGAGUGACCUGGCAGCUCCAUCCGACAUCUUUUUCAGGAGAAGACUUCUUAUCUGUGAGGUUUCUGGUCAACUUUCAACUGAGAAAAAAGGUAGUUUACUCAACUACUCAAAGGUAGUUGUUGGCAUUUGCUGUCAGAUUUCACUGUCAGAUAGUCUGGCAACAGCUUUGUCAUCCAGAUGUUUCUGUCCCUGCCAUUCCUUGCUCAGCCAAAUCUGAGGAAGAAAAAGACAUCUUUGUUCCUUGUCUACCUCUCAUGAAAGAAAUUUCAGCCAUCUUCUGGUCUAAUUCCUGC